rnacentral:misc_RNA from 1 species
AAGUCGUAACAAGGUUUCCGUAGGUGAACCUGCGGAAGGAUCAUUAUCGAGUUCUGGAAACGGGUUGUAGCUGGCCUUCCGAGGCAUGUGCCACGCCCUGCUCAAUCCACUCUACACCUGUGCACCUUACUGGUGGGUUUCAGGAGGCUUCGAAGCGGGGGCUUAAUCGCCUUCGCCGAGUUGUUACUGGGCCUACGGCUUUACCACAAACACUUUAAAGUAACAGAAUGCAAUCGCGUCUAACGCAUCUAUAUACAA